GAUGAAGAACGCAGCGAAAUGCGAUAAGUAAUGUGAAUUGCAGAAUUCAGUGAAUCAUCGAAUCUUUGAACGCACAUUGCGCCCGCCAGUAUUCUGGCGGGCAUGCCUGUCCGAGCGUCAUUUCAACCAUCAAGCCUCGUGCUUGUGUUGGGGACCUGCGUCCGACGCAGGCCCUGAAAACCAGUGGCGGGCUCGCUGUCCACACCGAGCGUAGUAACUAACCUCGCUAUGGAGUGGCGCGGGCGCCUGCCGUAAAACCCCCAAUUUCACAAGGUUGACCUUGGAUCAGGUAGGAAUACCCGCUGAACUUAAGCAUAUCAAUAAGCGGAGGA
rnacentral:misc_RNA from 1 species